rnacentral:sRNA from 1 species
GCCAGGCACAGUGGUGUAUGCCUGUAAUUCCAGUGACUAGGGAGGUUGAGGCAGGAGGAUGGCAAGUUUAAGGCCAGCCUCAGCAACUUAGUGACACCCUGCCUCAA